rnacentral:rRNA from 1 species
UACGUAGGUGGCAAGCGUUGUCCGGAAUUAUUGGGCGUAAAGCGCGCGCAGGCGGUCCUUUAAGUCUGAUGUGAAAGCCCACGGCUCAACCGUGGAGGGUCAUUGGAAACUGGGGGACUUGAGUACAGAAGAGGAAAGCGGAAUUCCAAGUGUAGCGGUGAAAUGCGUAGAUAUCGGGAGGAACACCAGUGGCGAAGGCGACUUCCUGGCCUGUUCUUGACGCUGAGGCGCGAAAGCUAGGGGAGCAAACGGG